UACGUAGGGGGCAAGCGUUGUCCGGAUUUAUUGGGCGUAAAGAGCGUGUAGGCGGCCAGGCAGGUCCGUUGUGAAAACUCGAGGCUCAACCUCGAGACGUCGGCCGGAAACCCUCUGGCUUAGAGUCCGGAAGAGGAGAGUGGAAUUCCUGGUGUAGCGGUGAAAUGCGCAGAUAUCAGGAAGAACGCCCGUGGCGAAGGGCGGCUCUCUGGGGACGGUACUGACGCUGAGACGCGAAAGCGUGGGGAGCAAACAGG
rnacentral:rRNA from 1 species